rnacentral:rRNA from 1 species
ACCAGACUCCUACGGGAGGCAGCAAUGGGGAAUAUUGCACAAUGGGGGAAACCCUGAUGCAGCGACGCCGCGUGAAGGAUGAAGUAUUUCGGUAUGUAAACUUCUAUCAGCAGGGAAGAAAAUGACGGUACCUGACUAAGAAGCCCCGGCUAACUACGUGCCAGCAGCCGCGGUAAUACGUAGGGGGCAAGCGUUAUCCGGAUUUACUGGGUGUAAAGGGAGCGUAGACGGCAUGGCAAGUCUGAUGUGAAAACCCGGGGCUCAACCCCGGGACUGCAUUGGAAACUGUCAGGCUAGAGUGUCGGAGAGGCAAGUGGAAUUCCUAGUGUAGCGGUGGAAUGCGUAGAUAUUAGGAGGAACAUCAGUGGCGAAGGCGACUUUCUGGACUGUAACUGACGCUGAGGCACGAAAGUGUGGGGAGCAAACAGGAUUAGAUACCCUGGUAA